UUGGGAGAGUGCUGCUGCUGAGAGGGGUCUGGCAGAACUGGCCAGAGUGGGGAAACCCUGCUGAGUGGAAGCCCUGUGCACAGGCCUCAGGUGAAAGGGGAGGAACGAGCACAGUGCAGGCCGCUCCCAGGAACACGAGGCAGAGAUUGAGCCAGUUCACUCCAUUCAACUCUCUCAAACAGGCAUAGAAGAUCAGAGGCACUGCACAGUCUUAGUGUUUCCAUAGCACCUUCCAGAUUUCUUCAAGGAAAUUUCUAACAUUUUAAGCAAGAUGUCCAUUAAGACAACUGGAAGAUCUAGAACUGGAGUGAUUUACUCCUGCUUAUCUGUUCAAACUGCAAAACCACAAGUGUGAAAAGCAAUUUG